UCCCAUACAAUGGCCCCCGACAUACUACUAUUCCUUUAAUGGCUGGCUCCUUUCGUGCAGCUUUUUUGUCCAUAAUUUAAUGCCUGCUAUGCAAAUUGAAGCUUAUUUCAAGACUGAUACCUCACAAUCAUUCAGAUAAUGUACAACAAGUUCUGUUUUUGAUUUGAUCCUAUCAAAACUUUUCUUGAACCUCUGCGACAGGUCUUUCCCCCCAUCCCUUGGGCUCAACACAGGUCUUUCACUACUCACUACAUAUGUCUUCUUUACAAACAUUAUAUAUCUAUGGCAGCUCAAAGCUAAAAACUGCUUGUUAAUCACUUAACUAACUAGUCUUGCACCAUUGAACCAUCUCUUUUCCUCAGGGACUUCGUGUGGCGAGGAAAUUCAUGCAAAUCGGAGGAUUGACCUUCGCCAAAGCAAGGAUCGACGAGGGAAGAAUCCACAAGCCAUCUCCACAUAUC
rnacentral:lncRNA from 1 species